CUGUUCGCCAUUUAAAGUGGUACGCGAGCUGGGUUUAGAACGUCGUGAGACAGUUCGGUCCCUAUCUGCCGUGGGCGCUGGAGAACUGAGGGGGGCUGCUCCUAGUACGAGAGGACCGGAGUGGACGCAUCACUGGUGUUCGGGUUGUCAUGCCAAUGGCACUGCCCGGUAGCUAAAUGCGGAAGAGAUAAGUGCUGAAAGCAUCUAAGCACGAAACUUGCCCCGAGAUGAGUUCUCCCUGAGACUUUAAGUCUCCUGAAGGAACGUUGAAGACGACGACGUUGAUAGGCCGGGUGUGUAAGCGCAGCGAUGCGUUGAGCUAACCGGUACUAAUGAACCGUGAGGCUUAACCUUACAACGCCGAAG
rnacentral:rRNA from 1 species